GACCUUAUAGCUCAACUGGAUAGAGCCAGCGUUUCCUAAACGUUAGAUCCCCGUUCAAGUCGGGGUGAGGUCACCA
rnacentral:tRNA from 1 species